rnacentral:rRNA from 1 species
AGAGUUUGAUCCUGGCUCAGGAUGAACGCUAGCGGCAGGCUUAAUACAUGCAAGUCGUGGGGCAGCACAGUGUAGCAAUACAUGGGUGGCGACCGGCAAACGGGUGCGGAACACGUACGCAACCUUCCUUUAACUGGAGAAUAGCCCGGGGAAACCCGGAUUAAUACUCCGUAACAUUAUGAAGUGGCAUCACUUUAUAAUUAUAGCUCCGGCGGUUAAAGAUGGGCGUGCGUCUGAUUAGGUAGUUGGCGGGUAACGGCCCACCAAGCCUACGAUCAGUAACUGGUGUGAGAGCACGACCAGUCACACGGGCACUGAGACACGGGCCCGACUCCUACGGGAGGCAGCAGUAAGGAAUAUUGGUCAAUGGACGCAAGUCUGAACCAGCCAUGCCGCGUGGAGGAUGAAGGUCCUCUGGAUUGUAAACUUCUUUUAUUUGGGAAGAAACCACCGAUUUCUAUUGGUGUUGACGGUACCAGAUGAAUAAGCACCGGCUAACUCCGUGCCAGCAGCCGCGGUAAUACGGAGGGUGCAAGCGUUAUCCGGAUUCACUGGGUUUAAAGGGUGCGUAGGCGGGUUGGUAAGUCCAUGGUGGAAUCUCCAAGCUUAACUUGGAAACUGCCGUGGAUACUCUCAAUCUUGAAUAUAGUGGAGGUGAGCGGAAUAUGUCAUGUAGCGGUGAAAUGCUUAGAUAUGACAUAGAACACCCAUUGC